rnacentral:rRNA from 1 species
UACGAAGGGGGCUAGCGUUGCUCGGAAUUACUGGGCGUAAAGGGCGCGUAGGCGGCACUGUUAGUCAGGCGUGAAAGUCCUGGGCUCAACCGGGGAACUGCGUCUGAUACUGGGUGGCUUGAAUCCGGGAGAGGGAUGCGGAAUUCCAGGUGUAGCGGUGAAAUGCGUAGAUAUCUGGAGGAACACCGGUGGCGAAGGCGGCAUCCUGGACCGGCAUUGACGCUGAGGCGCGAAAGCCAGGGGAGCAAACGGG